rnacentral:rRNA from 1 species
GACGAACGCUGGCGGCGUGCUUAACACAUGCAAGUCGAGCGAUGAAGUUUCUUCGGAAAUGGAUUAGCGGCGAACGGGUGAGGAACACGUGAAGAAUCUGCCCUCCACUUUGGGAUAACACAGGGAAACCUGUGCUAAUACCGAAUAUUGAAACAUAAGUGGCAUCACUGAGUUUUGAAAGAAUUUCGGUGGAGGAUGACUUCGCGGCCUAUCAGCUAGUUGGUGAGGUAAUGGUUCACCAAGGCAACGACGGGUAGCCGGCCUGAGAGGGCGACCGGCCACACUGGGACUGAGACACGGCCCAGACACCUACGGGAGGCAGCAGUGGGGAAUAUUGGGCAAUGGAGGAAACUCUGACCCAGCGACGCCGCGUGCGGGAUGAAGGCCUUCGGGUUGUAAACCGCUUUCAGUAGGGAAGAAGCGAAAGUGACGGUACCUACAAAAGAAGCACCGGCUAACUAUGUGCCAGCCGCCGCAGUAA